UUUAUUUAUUAUUUAUUACAGUGCCUGGCACGUAGUAGGUGCUUAAUAAAUGCUUGUUGAUUGAUUGGUUGAUUAAGCACCUACUCAGUGCAAGGCACUGUGCUAGACGCUGGCUGCCG
rnacentral:precursor_RNA from 12 species